rnacentral:rRNA from 1 species
CUUGGUCAUUUAGAGGAAGUAAAAGUCGUAACAAGGUUUCCGUAGGUGAACCUGCGGAAGGAUCAUUAACGAGUUAGGGUCUCUCUGGCCCGACCUCCCAACCCUUUGUCUACUUGACCAUCGUUGCUUCGGCGAGCCCGUCCUCACGGACCGCCGGAGGGACCUUUACUGGCCCUCUGGUCCGCGCUCGUCGGUAGCCCAACCUUUAAAAUCUUUAACUAAACGUGCCUUAAUCUAAGUACAAUUAUUAAAUAAAAGCAAAACUUUCAACAACGGAUCUCUUGGUUCUGGCAUCGAUGAAGAACGCAGCGAAAUGCGAUAAGUAAUGCGAAUUGCAGAAUUCCAGUGAGUCAUCGAAUCUUUGAACGCACAUUGCGCCCUUUGGUAUUCCGAAGGGCAUGCCUGUUCGAGCGUCAUUAUCACCCCUCAAGCCCCUGGCUUGGUGUUGGACGGUUUGGUGGAGGUCCCCUCGGGGGCUCCUGCCCCUCCCAAAGACAAUGACGGCGGCCUCGUUGGACCCCCGGUACACUGAGUUCUUCACGGGACACGUAUCGGACACAUGGGUUUACGGGACACGGUCUGCCUCUCCUCAGGGAGAAUCUUUCUAAGGUUGACCUCGGAUCAGGUAGGGAUACCCGCUGAACUUAAGCAUAUCAAUAAGCGGAGGA